UACGUAGGGUGCAAGCGUUGUCCGGAAUUAUUGGGCGUAAAGAGCUCGUAGGCGGUUUGUUGCGUCGGCUGUGAAAACCCGGGGCUCAACUCCGGGCCUGCAGCCGAUACGGGCAGACUAGAGUUCGGCAGGGGAGACUGGAAUUCCUGGUGUAGCGGUGAAAUGCGCAGAUAUCAGGAGGAACACCGAUGGCGAAGGCAGGUCUCUGGGCCAUAACUGACGCUGAGAAGCGAAAGCAUGGGGAGCGAACAGG
rnacentral:rRNA from 1 species